UUCCUAGUCAUCUAAGAAACAAAACUUUUUUGGUAAGAAAAUUAGCAUGGCCCCUGCGCAAGGAUGACACGCACAAACUAAGAAACAAAACUCGAUUGC